AUGUUGCAGGAGGAUGGGGGUGUUGAUGAAGAUGUGAACCAUCGAAUCAAAGCCAGAUGGAUGAAGUGGCGCCAAGCUUCUGGCAUUCUCUGUGACAAGAGAGUGCCACAAAAGCUAAAAGGCAAGUUCUACAGGACGGCGGUUCGACCCGCAAUGUUGUAUGGCGCGGAGUGUUGGCCGACUAAAAGGCGACAUGUUCAACAGUUAGGUGUGGCGGAGAUGCGUAUGUUGAGAUGGAUGUGUGGCCACACGAGGAAGGAUCGAGUCCGGAAUGAUGAUAUACGAGAUAGAGUUGGGGUAGCACCAAUUAAGGAGAAGCUUGUCCAACAUCGUUUGAGAUGGUUUGGGCAUAUUCAGCGCAGGCCUCCAGAAGCUCCAGUGCAUAGCGGACGGCUAAAGCGUGCGGAGAAUGUCAAGAGUGGG
rnacentral:rRNA from 1 species